UACGGAGGUGGCUAGCGUUGAUCGGAAUUACUGGGCGUAAAGCGCACGUAGGCGGACUGGAAAGUCAGGGGUGAAAUCCCGGGGCUCAACCCCGGAACUGCCUUUGAAACUCCCAGUCUUGAGGUCGAGAGAGGUGAGUGGAAGUCCGAGUGUAGAGGUGAAAUUCGUAGAUAUUCGGAGGAACACCAGUGGCGAAGGCGGCUCACUGGAUCGAUACUGACGCUGAGGUGCGAAAGCGUGGGGAGCAAACAGG
rnacentral:rRNA from 1 species